GUUAGAAGUGAACCACAUAGCUGGUUCAAAGUCAUUUGUACGACUUCGUCACGACAUGCGAGAUUCCGUCACUUGGUAGGAGCCCGGACCAGUAGACUUCUACAAAGGGACUCACUGUCGGCAGGCGACAGGAUCUUGGGUACAUCCUAGAGCCAGCGAGAUUUGGGAGGAGAUGAACACCUUACGCAGUCAGCCCACUCUCGAUAGUACUCAGCGGAGUGAGCCAGAGAUCCUGAGUCAGGUGCUUGGCACCCAUUCUGGAUAUAUGCGUGGGUUUGGCCAUGGUGCCAAGCUCAUGGCACCCGCUAGAGCUGCCUCCAGCCGAUCCAUCGUUGUUGGCGACAGCGCCAUACGCCGAGCUGAUACUGCAGAGAGAGAGGUUCAGCAGCUACGGGUCAUCGUCGAUGACAUCAAAGAUCAGCUGGACAGAUAGAGGGAGG